rnacentral:rRNA from 1 species
CCCUUAGAUGUCCUGGGCUGCACGCGCGCUACACUGGAAGUUACGGAUUGAGAUACUACCUUGUCCGAAAUGGUCCGGGUAAUCACCUAAAAGCUUGUCCUAAUUGGAAUGGAUUAUUGUAACUAGUAAUCCUGAACGAGGAAUUCCUAGUAAGUCCCAGUCAACAGCUGGUACUGAUUACGUCCCUGCCCUUUGUACACACCGCCCGUCGCUACUACUGAUUGGACGUUUAAGCAAGAUUUUUAAACACUGACAGUGUGUAGUUCACGCUAUACUACAGUGAGAAGAAGAAGAUCGAGCUUACUUGUCUAGAGGAAGUAAAAGUCGUAACA